rnacentral:rRNA from 1 species
GUCCGCGAGGACAAUUUGACAAUUGACCUCAAAUCAGUUACGUCAGGAACCAUGCAGA